rnacentral:rRNA from 1 species
UGCGUAGGCGGGUCUUUAAGUCAGGGGUGAAAUCCUGGAGCUCAACUCCAGAACUGCCUUUGAUACUGAGGAUCUUGAGUUCGGGAGAGGUGAGUGGAACUGCGAGUGUAGAGGUGAAAUUCGUAGAUAUUCGCAAGAACACCAGUGGCGAAGGCGGCUCACUGGCCCGAUACUGACGCUGAGGCACGAAAGCGUGAGGAGCAAACA